AGAUGCCCUGAAGGACAACACUUAUGGUCUGAGUAAUAGUCAGAAAUAAUGACUUAGAAAAAGCUCCUCUAAGGAGAGAUGGCACACACAUACCGGAAAGGAAGCCGCAUGAAGACACAGAGAGACACAGAGAGAGGAUGGCCAUGUGAAAACAGAAGCAGAGAAUAGAGUGAUGCUGCCCCAAACCAUGGAAUGCCAGGAGCCACCUGAAGCUAGAAGAGGCAAAGAAGGAUUUUUCUCUACAGACUUCAAAGAAAGCACAGCCCUGCUAACACUGUAGUUUUGAACUUCUCCAUAACUGUGAGAGAAUAAAUUUCUAUCAUUUUAA